CUUCCCAGGUGCCAGGGCCGGAACCCCGCUCAGGGCACAUCGCGGCCCGCCCACCCCGGACACGCAGCCGCGCGGUUCGGAAAGUUACUAUGGGUAUGUCUACACUACCCGCCGGAUCAGUGGGCAGCGAUGGAUCCAGCGGGGGUCGAUUUAUCACAUCUAGUCUAGACGUGAAAUCAAUCCCCGAGCACUCUCCCAUCGACUCCUGUACUCCACCACUGCGAGAGGUGCAGGCGGAGUCGACGGGGGAGCAGCAGCAGUCGACUCACCGCAGUGAAAACACCACGGUACAUCCAUUGCUGUUAAUGGACUCUGCAUUUGGCGCUGUGGGAAGGUUUAAAAGGGCUAGAGAAGCUAUACCUAAAUACCAUUAUUUUAAGGUGAUGAUAUUAAAUAAUGUUAUAUAUAUCUGCAAUAAAC